UUUGUUUAUCUUUGUUUUUAAAAGAAUGGAGCAGAUGAUGUGAAGAGACAUCGAUGGUUCAGGUCUAUAGACUGGGAUGCUGUACCUCAAAGGAGACUAAAGCCUCCUAUAGUGCCGAAAGUAUCCAAUGAUGGAGAUACUUCCAAUUUUGAAGCUUAUCCUGAAGAUGACUGGAACAAAAUGCCUCCAGUACCCCCUAAAGAUCUAGAAAUUUUCAAGAACUUCUGAAUGCAACACUGGACAAGAAACUGGAAAGAAAGUAAAGAGCAAGCCUGAAGAAAAAAUUAAAUUAAUACAUAAAUGAAGACUUUCCUUGUGGAUGAGAAUUAUACUGCAUUCAGAUAUGCAAACGAGAAUAUAAUGAAUAUCUAAAGAGUUGGAGGCAGGCAAGCAUCAGUUUUAGCUGUAAACAUUUGGCAUUGGUUUAGUAAAUUGUAAUGUUGACAGUCUACUCCGAAAUAGACUUGAGUAAAGUGAAAUAUUUUAGGAUUUUUUUUUAACUUAUGGUUUAGUUAAGUUUCCUGCUAUUCCCAGAUCCUUUUUGCAUAAUUAAUUCAUAGAUUUAAUUUUAUAAGUUUAUACUAAACUUGUGUAAUUAAAAGCACAAAUUAGUAUAUAUGUAUAUAAUGAAUACAAUACAACUAAAGCACAGGAACUGUGCAAAGAUGUAAAUUUUUGUACUUUGCAGAGUCUAUGAUUUUUAUUUUUCAAAUAAUGUUUUUCAAGAAGUUCUCUAGGGAUAAAAAUCUUAAAAGGAUAAAUGAGUUUUUCAUCAUCUUAUAUACAUUUUAUAAUUCUUUGUAAAAAUAAAAAUAAUUAAGUUUUAAAUAAGAUUUGUACCUAAAAUUUCCAAUGCCUCAUACUUGCAACCAUAGUACUUGAAAGCAGAAAGACAAGGGCAUGUUUUAUUGUUGAUUAAGAUACAUCUUAAUGGUUAAUUUAUGAAAUUCUGUUACACUGAUGUCUCUACAAACCAGGAUAUUGAGUGAUGACGUGCUGUCUGAAAUGUGAUUCCUCUUGUGACAACUCUCUGUAAACAUUCAGCUCAGUGCAUACUGGUAUAAGGGCUAUAACUGGCUCUUACAGUUGUUGUUCUCUCUCUUAAGCUUGCUAUCUUUUCUAAAUUUAAAGCAUGAGCCAUAACAGACUUUCUUCAUUAUUGGCAUAGUUGUUGUUGAAUAUUUGGCACUUCUAACUAUCAGAGGGAACACUAAAUAUAUGUUAGAGCCUGCUCUUUCUGCUCCUGCUUUUGGAAAUAGCCUGAAGUCUCCACUGCCAGGAAUUCUAUAUGUACAGUGCUCAAGCCUUAGAUCUGAGGAGUUUCUUUUAAACUGUAUAACAGCUUUUUGACAUCUUAAAUACACUGAAUUUAGGAAAUAUUUGCAAUACUGUUUCAUUUUAAGUAGCACCAAGAAUCUGUGUGUGCAUAUGUAUUUCUCUCGUAUAUGAGUACGCAUAAACAAAAGUAGAUUGUAUACAAUUCAGGAUUAUUUCAGUCUUUUUCAUGUUUCAUAUUGAGAUAUUUGUUUUAAUACAGGGGAAACUGAGUGCUUUGAUUUCAAAAAGUAAAUACUUUUUUGGUUUUAGGGAAAUCAUAUUUAGAUCAAAAGUUUUUGUUUGUUUCAGAAGUGCAUCAGCUUAUUGAAGUUGUACCACUGUGACUGAUGGCUCUACAUAAAACUGUCUCUGUAGAUUUUACAGACUGUUUUCCCUGCAAAGAAUUCUCUCCACAUUUUUUAUUAAUCUAAAAUGCCAUAUAAAUGGGGGCCAAAGAUUCAUUUUUCAGAACUAAAUUUUGUGUGCUUACUAUACAGGCAUUCUAGUAAUUGCAAAUUAAAUUACUAUCUUUAUAAAUUUAUGACAGAUCUACAGCUGGUCUCUCCUGAUGGAAAAAUUACUUCAGUUCUCUUUUGUUUAGCUCUAAACAAUGCAGAGAUGUAGUAAAUAGUAAAUGUACUUUGAAAGCUUGCAAUUUCUAGUUUACUAGAUCUUUAUCUUUAUAAAACAAAUUAAUUCUUAGAGACUGUAUGACUUUUUGCAGAAAUACAAUAUGUAAUAAAGUUACGCUUCUUCAAAGAGGUAGUUCUGAAUUAUUACAAAUAUUAAAAAGUGCUGCAAGUUGAUUGCCCCAGCUGAAAAUCAGUGAAAACUAUAUAGGAAUACAUAAUAAGGAGAAAAUCCACGGAAAAUUAUCCUUUUAACAUGGUAUAAAUACCUUGUUCUCUUGAAAAAUGAGUCUAGACUUCUUUAUUUGUAUCCAUGGAGUGAGUUAUUCCAAAUCAGUUGGAGAAACUGAAGUACAUAAAAGAGCUUACUUUGUCUAAGGGGGGAGGAAGCACAGUUUAUUUUUUAACGUGCAAGUUUCAGUAUUUUUUUGAAUCCUAAGUACUACGAAAACAGCAUGAUUUUGUGUUUUUCUUUCAAAUUUAAAAACCGCACUGUGUUUAAGUCUUCAGAGCUGAGUAAAUGAAGUUUGAAGUUGCAUUUUACUAAUCUGCUACAUUGGUGGUCAGAAGUUUUGAAAGGUUAACAGAAAAUCAUUGAUUUUCUUUCUUACCUAUUCUUACUCAUUCACAUACCCAUUGCUGGCAGUGGAUGCACUGGCUCUCACACUAUGAUAGAGACUAAAGUGAAUACAGUCUUUAUAGUACUAAUCCAUGGACUUCACGUUGUUUCCAUAACCAUGUGUACUUACACCUAACUACUGACCCCGUCAACAUGCUUUCUAGUACAAAACUACCUUCAAAAUUUUUUAAAUUAAAAUCCUUAAUAAGAAACCUUUUUGAAACAUUAUUAUAAAUGACCAGUUAUUUUCUCUACAGUCUUCAACUUACUGAACUGUUACUUUACAUGCCCAUUUUAUUUAUUUGCACAAGUGAGUUGGUUUUAUUUUAAGUCUUUGCUGGGACUUCAUGGACCACUAACGAACACAGUUCUGUCUGAGUGCUCAAGCAGAUGUUUCCAGAUACAUACUGCUCUAAGGACUCUGGAUUUAUUUUAUUCUUUCUUAAGCAAGCUAGAACACUUCUGUUUUUCCUUCCUCCUCUAUUCUGAAGUUCAUUUUAUUAUGGUUGCUUCUGUUAACAUAUAUUUUUGCAUAUAGACUGUUGCAUAAGGACUGUUUUCUUGUAAGAGCCCAUAGGCCUUUCAUAUUCUGCUUUGGCAAACAAGAAUGUCAAACAUUAAAAAACAAUCUUUAUUUUUGAGUUUUAUAUAUAUAUAUUUUUAAUUGCCCGAUUUGAGGUUUUAAGUGAUAAACGUGCAUUGUAAACUCAAUUGCCUUGUAACCAAAUAAUAAAAAUGCUUCAUGAUUUAAAUGGACAACAUGCUGUAGAUUUUCCUGUAAAUUAGCUUGAUCAAUGAAUAUGUGUGCUACUGAGCUUUAACUUAUGUGAUCUUCCACUGUAAAAAAUCAUUGUUAAUUGAUCAAAAUAUAGGUACUGAACUAUGUUUAAAUAGAUCAACAGGGAUUGUGCAAGUUUGAAAGCAAUUAAGAUAUGGCUGUUCCUCAGCCCGUCUGCUUGCCAUUCAGAAGAGUUGUGAUGCAGUGCUUCCUAUGCUAUAGAGUUAUUUUUCAGCUUUCAAUGACUGUAGCAUGAUUCCUUUUCGUACUGUACUGUGUACAGACUUCCCAUGUUUUGCACUUUUCUAUGGCAAACCUAACUGCUUUAUAAAUACUCUGUUGUGUAGUAGGUAGUGGUAGUGAUAGCAGGCAUUUGUGUAGUACAUAACCAGUUUGAUCCGCUAGUUUUGCGAGGUGAACUUGGACUAAUGUUGUAUGUUUCUGGUUGCUUGUUGUGGCUCACAUGUAUAAGUACUGUUCAAAGUUACAAAGUCAGCCCUCAUUGCACAAUGAAAAUCACUGUGAUCUGUACAUAAACCCUAGUAAAAUUUUAUUGCUGCUUAAUUUAUGUAAUAUCUGUCAAAUCUGGAUUCAUUUAAUAAACCUUUAUAACUUUUUGAAUGUUUAAA